GCGGUCAUGGCGGAAUUGGUAGACGCACUACCUUGAGGUGGUAGCGGGGCGACCCGUGGAAGUUCGAGUCUUCUUGACCGCACCA
rnacentral:tRNA from 1 species